AAAGAAAAUGGAGAGAGAAGUGGGGUCGAACACUUUCCACUAUCUGGCAUUGUUGAUGAGAUGAAAAAUGCAAGACGAGAAAAGAAAGAAAGAAAGCAUGAUAUGAUGAAAUAAGGUGAAUUGUUUAUUGUAAUAAUUGAGCAAAAGGGGAUGCAACUAGAUCUUGGAAAACUUAUUCUACUCACCCACUUAAGAACAAUAAGAAAAUG
rnacentral:lncRNA from 1 species